GACGAACGCUGGCGGCGUGCCUAAUACAUGCAAGUCGAACGCAGUGGGGACGGGUGAGUAACACGUGGGUAACCUCCCAUCAGAGGGGAUAACACUUGGAAACAGCUGCUAAACCGAAACUGAUGGAUGGAACUGCGGUGCAGUAGCUAGUUGGUGAGGGAACGGCUCACCAAGGCCACGAUGCAUAGCUGACCUGAGAGGGUGAUCGGCCAGACUGGGACUGAGACACGGCCCAGACUCCUACGGGUGGCAGCAGUAGGGAAUCUUCGGCAAGGGACGAAAGUCUGACCGAGCAACGCCGCGUGAGUGAAGAAGGUUUUCGGAUCGUAAAACUCUUUUGUUAGAGAAGCGGUAUCUAACCAGAAAGCCACGGCUAACUCCGUGCCAGCAGCCGCGGUAAUAC
rnacentral:rRNA from 1 species